UACUCCUACGGGGAGGCAGCAGUGGGGAAUAUUGGACAAUGGGCGCAAGCCUGAUCCAGCCAUGCCGCGUGAGUGAUGAAGGCCCUAGGGUUGUAAAGCUCUUUCACCGGAGAAGAUAAUGACGGUAUCCGGAGAAGAAGCCCCGGCUAACUUCGUGCCAGCAGCCGCGGUAAUACGAAGGGGGCUAGCGUUGUUCGGAAUUACUGGGCGUAAAGCGCACGUAGGCGGACAUUUAAGUCAGGGGUGAAAUCCCAGAGCUCAACUCUGGAACUGCCUUUGAUACUGGGUGUCUUGAGUAUGGAAGAGGUGAGUGGAAUUCCGAGUGUAGAGGUGAAAUUCGUAGAUAUUCGGAGGAACACCAGUGGCGAAGGCGGCUCACUGGUCCAUA
rnacentral:rRNA from 1 species